GACGAACGCUGGCGGCGUGCCUAACACAUGCAAGUCGAACGGAAAGACCCUGCUUUUGUGGGGUGCUCGAGUGGCGAACGGGUGAGUAACACGUGAGUAACCUGCCCUUGACUUUGGGAUAACUUCAGGAAACUGGGGCUAAUACCGGAUAGGAGCUCCUGCUGCAUGGUGGGGGUUGGAAAGUUUCGGCGGUUGGGGAUGGACUCGCGGCUUCUCAGCUUGUUGGUGGGGUAGUGGCUUACCAAGGCUUUGACGGGUAGCCGGCCUGAGAGGGUGACCGGCGACAAUAGGACUGAGGGAGGCCGCAGACUGGUACGUGAGGCAACGGUCGGGAAUAUUACACAGUGGGGGCAAGCCUGAUGCAGCAACGCCGCGAGCGGGAAGACGGGCUUCGGGUGGUAAACCGCUUUCGCCUGUGACGAAGCGUGAGUGACGGUAAUGGGUAAAGAAGCACCGGCUAACUACGUG
rnacentral:rRNA from 1 species